rnacentral:rRNA from 1 species
UACAGAGGUCUCAAGCGUUGUUCGGAUUCAUUGGGCGUAAAGGGCGCGUAGGCGGCGGGGUAAGUCGGGUGUGAAAUCUCAGAGCUCAACUCUGAAACUGCACUCGAUACUGCUCUGCUAGAGUCCGGAAGAGGAGAAUGGAAUUCCUGGUGUAGCGGUGAAAUGCGCAGAGUAUCAGGAAGAACACCCGUGGCGAAGGCGGCUCUCUGGGACGGUACUGACGCUGAGACGCGAAAGCGUGGGGAGCGAACAGG